CCUGGCUCCCGUGAGGGCUAGCUACAGGCUUAACACAUGCAAGUCGAGGGGCUGCAUGGUCUUAGCUUGCUAAGGCCGAUGGCGACCGGCGCACGGGUGAGUAACACGUAUCCAACCUGCCGUCUACUCUUGGACAGCCUUCUGAAAGGAAGAUUAAUACAAGAUGGCAUCAUGAGUCCGCAUGUUCACAUGAUUAAAGGUAUUCCGGUAGACGAUGGGGAUGCGUUCCAUUAGAUAGUAGGCGGGGUAACGGCCCACCUAGUCUUCGAUGGAUAGGGGUUCUGAGAGGAAGGUCCCCCACAUUGGAACUGAGACACGGUCCAAACUCCUACGGGAGGCAGCAGUGAGGAAUAUUGGUCAAUGGGCGAGAGCCUGAACCAGCCAAGUAGCGUGAAGGAUGACUGCCCUAUGGGUUGUAAACUUCUUUUAUAAAGGAAUAAAGUCGGGUAUGGAUACCCGUUUGCAUGUACUUUAUGAAUAAGGAUCGGCUAACUCCGUGCCAGCAGCCGCGGUAAUACGGAGGAUCCGAGCGUUAUCCGGAUUUAUUGGGUUUAAAGGGAGCGUAGAUGGAUGUUUAAGUCAGUUGUGAAAGUUUGCGGCUCAACCGUAAAAUUGCAGUUGAUACUGGAUAUCUUGAGUGCAGUUGAGGCAGGCGGAAUUCGUGGUGUAGCGGUGAAAUGCUUAGAUAUCACGAAGAACUCCGAUUGCGAAGGCAGCCUGCUAAGCUGCAACUGACAUUGAGGCUCGAAAGUGUGGGUAUCAAACAGGAUUAGAUACCCUGGUAGUCCACACGGUAAACGAUGAAUACUCGCUGUUUGCGAUAUACAGCAAGCGGCCAAGCGAAAGCGUUAAGUAUUCCACCUGGGGAGUACGCCGGCAACGGUGAAACUCAAAGGAAUUGACGGGGGCCCGCACAAGCGGAGGAACAUGUGGUUUAAUUCGAUGAUACGCGAGGAACCUUACCCGGGCUUAAAUUGCAGAUGAAUUACGGUGAAAGCCGUAAGCCGCAAGGCAUCUGUGAAGGUGCUGCAUGGUUGUCGUCAGCUCGUGCCGUGAGGUGUCGGCUUAAGUGCCAUAACGAGCGCAACCCUUGUUGUCAGUUACUAACAGGUUCCGCUGAGGACUCUGACAAGACUGCCAUCGUAAGAUGUGAGGAAGGUGGGGAUGACGUCAAAUCAGCACGGCCCUUACGUCCGGGGCUACACACGUGUUACAAUGGGGGGUACAGAGGGCCGCUACCACGCGAGUGGAUGCCAAUCCCCAAAACCUCUCUCAGUUCGGACUGGAGUCUGCAACCCGACUCCACGAAGCUGGAUUCGCUAGUAAUCGCGCAUCAGCCACGGCGCGGUGAAUACGUUCCCGGGCCUUGUACACACCGCCC
rnacentral:rRNA from 1 species